rnacentral:lncRNA from 1 species
UGAGGGGGAAGGUGGGGAGGGCACAAGGACAGGGAGGAAUGCUGCAGCCACCUGUGCCCAUGCCCGGGGGAGGGGCCGGCUCCUGGGACCCUCCCAGAAGGCUCUGGGGAGGCCAUGAAAGCGGGGAUGGAGGGGGGCCUUGAAACUGCCCAGGGGCUGAAUUGGUGAGCUCAUGGCAGAAAGGGCAGCUGGCUGGGCCGGAGCUGACCUCUUCGCCCCCCUCCUCGUCGCCCUUUUUGGGGUCUCGGAGCGCCUGGCUGGCGCCUGCCCCGGCAGAAUGUCUACAUUCCUUCCUGUUUGGGAAGAGGACGGGGGACCAACAGCGGGCCCCAAAAUAGCUGCUGUCCUGUUGCCCACGUGCCUGUGCAGACGGCUGUGCUGACUGGCUUCUGUCAGUGGGCACAGGUGGCCCUGCCGCGGACAGGCCCAGAAAAGGCUGGCGGCCUCCCCCAGUGCACACGUGACAGGGCAGAGCGGGCGCCGGGGGUCGGCACCAGGCCCAGGCGGGGCUGCCGUGGGUGACUGGUCCAAGGCAGUGCAGAAGGCAGGGGCAUGCCAGUCAGGGGGGACAAGGAGCAGGGGAGAGGGGCACCGGGGCAGGGAGCAGGGGGAGCUGCAUCCCCCGGCAGCCUCCUCCCGGCCCCGAGCCACCGAGGGUACCGGGUGGCCCCGUCAGCGGGAGGAGCCCCCAGCUUGCAGGAGCAUCCCCCCAAGGCCCACGCCAUCACGGUGCCACCCAGCGCCCCUUCCCCUCUGGCCCGAAGCCCGAGGCAUCACAGCCCGGCUGCCUGCCCCCUUCCCGGCCACCUCGGAGGCCUGUGCCCUUCUGGGGUCUCGCGGGGCUCCGCCNNCCCAGCUGUCCCGGUGCCCACAUUCCUGCCUCUCUGGGAAGAGGCUCCAAGACUCCGAGGAUGAAAAUAGCCCUGCCCUGAAGGGGCCUUGCACGGUGAGGUCCCCUGCUCCCUCUGCCCGGGCCGGGGAACUUGGGGAGUAGAAAGGACGUGCGUGGUGGGCGGGCGUCCCGUGCGCGCCAGGUUUCUCUCCCAGAGGCCCUGCCCGCGCGCACGCUUGCCUGCUAAAGUUUCGCACUUUCAACUGCUUCCCCCUUCCCGUGUUUGCUGUCCUUGGUCCGGCCCGGGCGGCCGGGGAGCCGGCUCCUCCGAAGACGCUUCCUGGAUGCCUGGCAGCGUUCUCCCGGGGCCCCGCUCCCAGCUCUGCGC